UGGGGAAAGGGAGAUUGCAGAGAAGCAGGGGAAGGAAAGUGCACUUUUAUUGCCAGGAAAAACUAGAUGGGGCUUGGCUACAAAGUGUUGUAGA